rnacentral:misc_RNA from 1 species
GAUGAAGAACGGAGUGAAAUGCGAUAAGUAAUGUGAAUUGCAGAAUUCAGUGAAUCAUCGAAUCUUUGAACGCACAUUGCGCCCCUUGGUAUUCCGAGGGGCAUGCCUGUUCGAGCGUCAUUAUAACCCCUCAAGCUCAGCUUGGUGUUGGGGCCUGCUGCACUGGCAGCCCUUAAAAUCAGUGGCGGCGCCAUCUGGCUCUAAGCGUAGUAAUUCUUCUCGCUAUGGAGUCCUGGUGGAUGCUUGCCAUCAACCCCCAAUUUUUCUAUGGUUGACCUCGGAUCAGGUAGGGAUACCCGCUGAACUUAAGCAUAUCAAUAAGCGGAGGA